CCUCGCCUGUGCGUUUCUCAUGAAGUUCUAUUUACCACGGGGUUUGUUUUAGAGAAUGGAUUUUAUUCAGAAGGUGGCUCAUCUGUUUGUUUCCCAGGAGUGUCCUCCUCAACAGGAGAAAACAGCACUCAAUAGGGCUAAGAGAACCAAGACAGGUGGUAGGAUACUGACAUCUGGCUCCUCAGCCCUAAAGAGGAGAACAUCCGGGCCUAGGUUGGGCAGGAUAAUGACCAAUCACGUGAUGCUGCUGAAAACUUCAUGUCUUGGCAAAUAGGUGGAAAACAACUCAAAUAUAGGGUAAAAAGAGGCAAGAUGGGUAGAGGGCUGCCUGACAUUUGGCUCCUUACCCCUCAAGUGAAGAAGAUCCUAACUCUGACUGCCCUGAGGUAGAUCUCUAAAAGUGAAGAAUUACAGUUAUGAUGCAAAGUUUGAAUGUGAUUUGGUGACUCUCAGUGUCAUCAAUAUCUGGGCGGGAAGUUGUGCAAUCUAUGGAAUCUGUCUUGGGCACAUAUGUAUUUGAUGUAUUUUGUGGGUGAUUGGCCAUAGUUUGGGAGCUUAUAUUUACCUCAUGUUAAUUCUGGUUGUUAGAAUAUAUGUUGUAUAUGUAACAGAUUGCUUUACUUCUCCAGCCUUGUAUCGUAAAGUUUAAUUUGUUUGUUUUAACAUAAUGGAAUCUUGUGUCUUUAUUCUCUUAGUAAAUAACUGGGAUUUCAAACUUUGUCAAUUUUAAACAAAAAUGUAAUUGAUCCUUAUCCAGGUUGUAACACAAAUUUGAUAAUGUCAACCGGGAAUCAUAAUGUACUUCACACUCGUCUAUAGAAAGGCAUAUUGGAUAUUUUUCCAAUUGUAUGUAUUUAUUUUCCUCUGCUUUAUAGGCUAAUGCAAUUCGAAAGUAAUGUGUUAUGUGAAGUAUUUUGAGAUGACAUGACAUACGUGAUUCUAAAAGUGAUUCAAUCAAUUUAAGAUGUGAGUGGCUGAUCUAAAUAAAGUUUGUAACAUUU